GAGCCUAGGUAUGGAAACGUACCGAGUGGUAGCUUUCAGAUUCAGGGAAACCUAGGAGAAAAUCCGUUGGUUUUUGUAGAACCAUGAGGGUUCGAGUCCCUCUAUCCC
rnacentral:tRNA from 1 species